UUUGACUCUUUUUUUUGUGGUAAUUAUGAGUAUUUCCCUAAAAAAAAAUCCCCAACACAGAUUAACUGAAGUUAAACGUGUGGAGAAAAAAGAGGUCUCUUCCUGUAAUGACAUCAAAGCUGGUAGAUUCACAUUUACUGGAGGAACUGAGCAGAAACCGUCUACCCAAAGACCCCCGUAAUCAAAAACAGGAAGUAAAGCCAACCACAUGCGACUUUCUGUAAAAUUCAGAACGCAGCCAGGCUUUACUGAAGGGGAUCAUUUCUCAGGUGCCCGACAUGAAACUUUUCAGCUAUAAAGUCCUUUUUUAUGUUUUGAUCCUAGUGGUACUCGGAGGCACUCAGGAUGACAACAAGAAGCUGACCAAUCUGGACAUGUUCAAACAUUUCAUGUUCCGCAUUAUGGUCAUUAAGAUUUUUGUCACCAUUGUCUUACUUACAUACUUCCUGAAAUCCCGUCCUGUGAUCACAGGUAGGAGUCUAGAUCUAAAAAUACAGGUGGCUGAUUACCAUGAUCUGAGAGCUGUAAUUCAUUGAACUUUGUAUCCGUUCUGCAGAAAAAGGCCAGAGAAGUGAGGAUUAUGGUUCUUCCCAUCACAUCUAUGAAAAUGAACUGAGUAGAACUGAACUGAACUCGUAGAGCUUUUAUAGAACAACUGCUUGCUUUUGUGUUCUUGAACUACUGUAAGGCAAACUGCAAAGAUGUGAAAGUGAAAGUGUGAGGCAGCUUUUGUUUACGAUACAAAGAAUAGUGAGACAGAGGACAGGUAAUAGUCAUGUUUCCUGUACAGGUAACACAUCUGCACACAUCCUGUAUAAAGUUUACGUUCAAGAGGGACUGUCUAGACUACAGAGUACUGUGUUCUCAUCUUCCUGUCUUUUAUUUAUUUAUGAUUAAAUAAGCUUCUCUUCUUAGGUAAAUGUAUGUUUUGAAAGGAGACUAACUUCACCCGUCAUAACUGUUUUUAUUGUACCCAAAGUAUUAGUUGUACAUUCUGAAAACUUUGAAAUAGACAGCCAUAUUGUGACUUAUCAUUUGUAUUUGUGUUUCACAAAGACUUAUUCACGAUUAGAGUCUCAGAUUGACAUAAUCUGUUUGUUUUUAAUGAAUAAAUUUGAUUAAUCUUA